rnacentral:lncRNA from 1 species
CCAAUCCUAUGAAAGGAACUGUAUAAAAUUCAACCUCUCUCUCGCCAAUUCAUCUGCUCUGCUCCACUUUGAAAAAAUCUGCCAAAUGAGGCUAGAUGCACAUUUUUCUCCUUCGAUUCCUGAUUCAUGCCAAUCCUGUGGAAGCAACUUAUAUGAUGGUUCUUUCCACAGUCCUUCUAGUUGUUUGGUACUUCUUAUAUAUUGGUGUGAUGGAAGUGUCUUUUAACAUCAGUUUUUCAAGUGCAAGCAGUUGUAGCUGAACUUCUCGCUCUGUACUACAAUCGGGUGAAGAGUAGUGCACAUGCAAAAAAUGAAUACAUCUGCAACGACACGUUACCAUAUUACUGACCUGCUGCGCAGUGUACUUCGCACAUGCAGAUUUCAGGUAAAACAUCGACGAUCAUUAUCUGCCCGUUGCACAGCAUGGGUUUCUCUGAUGCUUACUGCAGUCAAGGAUGUCGUGCUUGCAUUGGAAUGCUCAAACGGAUGAUGGGUGUAGUAUUGCAGCAUGAAGAUGAAAGGAUUGCAAAUUCAACUCCGUUUGCCAAGCAUUUUAAUUCAAGAAAAAAAAUAGAGAGAGGUAUCGAGUGUUUGUUACCAAUUCAGUCCCGGUGAGCAGUCCAAUUGUAGCUCCUCAGUUGAACAAUGGUGCCGAG